rnacentral:rRNA from 1 species
AUUGAACGCUGGCGGCAUGCCUUACACAUGCAAGUCGAACGGCAGCACGGGUGCUUGCCCCUGGUGGCGAGUGGCGAACGGGUGAGUAAUACAUCGGCACAUGUCCUGUAGUGGGGGAUAGCCCGGCGAAAGCCGGAUUAAUACCGCAUACGAUCUACGGGAAAAAGCGGGGGACCUUCAGGCCUCGCGCUAGGGGGGUGGCCGGUGGCUGAUUAGCUAGUUGGUGGGGUAAAGGCCUACCAAGGCGACGCUCAGUAGCUGGUCUGAGAGGACGAACAGCCACACUGGGACUGAGACACGGCCCAGACUCCUACGGGAGGCAGCAGUGGGGAAUUUUGGACAAUGGGCGAAAGCCUGAUCCAGCAAUGCCGCGUGUGUGAAGAAGGCCUUCGGGUUGUAAAGCACUUUUGUCCGGAAAGAAAUCCUUGGCCCUAAUACGGUCGGGGGAUGACGGUACCGGAAGAAUAAGCACCGGCUAACUACGUG